AUAUUUACCUGACAGGGGAGACAUCUUGGUCACGAAAGAGGUUCACCCAGGACAAAGCUCGGCUGUGCUGACCCCAUGCGAAUUCCUCAAAUGUGGGAAUCUUGACUCCACAAGUUAUGGUAGUGGGGAAUUGCGUUGCGGUCUCCAC
ensembl:snRNA U1 U1 spliceosomal RNA